AUUGAACGCUGGCGGCAGGCCUAACACAUGCAAGUCGAGCGGAUGAAGGGAGCUUGCUCCUGGAUUCAGCGGCGGACGGGUGAGUAAUGCCUAGGAAUCUGCCUGGUAGUGGGGGAUAACGUCCGGAAACGGGCGCUAAUACCGCAUACGUCCUGAGGGAGAAAGAGGGGGAUCUUCGGACCUCACGCUAUCAGAUGAGCCUAGGUCGGAUUAGCUAGUUGGUGGGGUAAAGGCCUACCAAGGCGACGAUCCGUAACUGGUCUGAGAGGAUGAUCAGUCACACUGGAACUGAGACACGGUCCAGACUCCUACGGGAGGCAGCAGUGGGGAAUAUUGGACAAUGGGCGAAAGCCUGAUCCAGCCAUGCCGCGUGUGUGAAGAAGGUCUUCGGAUUGUAAAGCACUUUAAGUUGGGAGGAAGGGCAGUAAGUUAAUACCUUGCUGUUUUGACGUUACCAUCAGAAUAAGCACCGGCUAACUUCGUG
rnacentral:rRNA from 1 species